GGGCCCGCACAAGCAGUGGAGUAUGUGGUUUAAUUCGAAGCAACGCGAAGAACCUUACCAGGGCUUGACAUCCCUUGACGAGUGUAGAGAUACACUUUCUCUUCGGAGCAAGGAGACAGGUGGUGCAUGGUUGUCGUCAGCUCGUGUCGUGAGAUGUUGGGUUAAGUCCCGCAACGAGCGCAACCCCUGUUGUUAGUUGCCAGCACGUAAUGGUGGGCACUCUAGCGAGACUGCCGGUGACAAAUCGGAGGAAGGUGGGGACGACGUCAAAUCAUCAUGCCCCUUAUGUCCUGGGCUACACACGUACUACAAUGGCUGUUACAAAGGGAAGCUAAUCCGCGAGGAGGAGCAAAUCCCCAAAGGCAGUCCCAGUUCGGAUUGCAGGCUGAAACUCGCCUGCAUGAAGUCGGAAUUGCUAGUAAUGGCAGGUCAGCAUACUGCCGUGAAUACGUUCCCGGGCCUU
rnacentral:rRNA from 1 species